GGGGCAUUAGUGUAACGGUAGCACGAGUGAUUCUGGUUCACUUAGUCAAGGUUCGAAUCCUUGAUGCCCUA
rnacentral:tRNA from 1 species